AUUGAACGCUGGCGGCAGGCUUAACACAUGCAAGUCGAGCGGGGAAGGGUAGCUUGCUACCUAACCUAGCGGCCGACGGGAGAGUAAUGCUUAGGAAUCUGCCAUUUAGUGGGGGACAACAUUCCGAAAGGAAUGCUAAUACCGCAUACGUCCUACGGGAGAAAGCAGGGGAUCUUCGGACCUUGCGCUAGAUGAUGAGCCUACGUCGGGUUCGCUAGUUGGUGGGGUAAAGGCCUACCAAGGCGAUGAUCUGUAACGGGUCUGAGAGGGUGAUCCGCGACGAUGGGAUGGAGACACGGCCCAGACUCCUACGGGAGGCAGCAGUGGGGAAUAUUGGACAAUGGGCGGAAGCCUGAUCCAGCCAUGCCGCGUGUGUGAAGAAUGCCUUAUGUUUGUAAAGCACUUUAAGCGAGGAGGAGGCUACUUAGAUUAAUACUCUAGGAUAGUGGACGUUACUCGCAGAAUAAGCACCGGCUAACUCUGUGCCAGCCGCCGCGGUAA
rnacentral:rRNA from 1 species